AACAACUGUAAAACAUGUAUACGGUAUUAUACUGUAAAUAGCAAAGGAUUAUGGGAAAAUUUAUGGUCAGUACUGUAAUCACUCUCUACUGUUAUUUAACUUACAGUACUGUCAUUGGUGGUUGUAUUUCGAACAGUAUUUUACUGUAAAAAGUACAGUAAACAACUGCAAAACAUGUAUACAGUAUUAUACUGUUAAUAGCAAAGGAUUAUGGGAAAAUGUAUGGUCAGUACUGUAAUCACUCUCUACUGUUGUUUAAUUUACAGUACUGUCAUUGGUGGUUGUAUUUCGAAUAGUAUUUUACUGUAAAAAGUACAGUAAACAACUGUAAAACAUGUAUAAAGUAUUAUACUGUGUAAAUAGCAAAGGAUUAUGGGAAAAGUUAUGCUCUGUACUGUAAUCACUCUCUACAGUUAUUUAACUUGCAGUAUUGUAACUAGUUUGUUUAAAUUGAACAGAAUGUAUACUGACAAGAACUGAAACUUAAUAGAACGUUCCAUUGCAACAGCACCACCCAGCAGCAAACCUAUGCCUCCGCCAUUUUGAGGUGAUUCAGCAGUCCAGUAGCUUCUUGCUGUCGCAAUAGAGUUUUUCAGGGAUAACAUAUUUUUGCAGGUCAACCCUUGAAGUUAGUGGGACACUUGUUUUAUUGCAAAAAUAAGCUUUGUGUUUAACAAAAGUUUAUGACACACAUUUUGUCCAAACGUUAAUUGUCACAGAUGAAAUUAUGAAUUUUGAAUUCUAAAUGCGUUUAUUACAAAUAUAAAAACAAAUUUACCAAUCCUUUUGAACUGUGCUCUCUCCACACGGCCGUUCAAAAUGCUCAGAGCGAAAUUAAUUAUGGCAUUAAAUUGUCCAGGCGACUGGAUUCUAAAAAAGAGGCUUACUUUCACACCCUGAUAGCCUCUCGUCACAGAAUGCACAGAUUUGCGUUCAACGGGACACCAAUACACGGUCCUGCCCUUUGGAUUAUCUCUAGCCCUACAUACAUUUACCAAAUGUGCAGAUGCUGCGCUUGCCCCUCUGAGACAAAGGGGAAUUCAUAUAUUAAAUUACCUUAAUGAUUGGCUUGUUUUUACUCAUUCGAAACAGGACAUUUAUGUGCAUAAAUCCUCCAUGCUCCAUGUUUUUAUUUACUGUAGCUUAAACCAUGGCUAAUUUUCAUAAGGGUGGUUCCAUCACUGACAUAACAUACCAUAAAAUGUAGCCUCCUCAUAUCUUAGUUUUCUAUUGCGUAUUUGUGAGAUUCAUUAUUCUUAGAUUUCUCUCUAAAUUAUGACACAUAAGAAUAAAGUGAGUUCUGUUAUAAUAACGCUAGACUGUUUCCCAGGAGGUAGCCACACCUAACGUUACAUACAAAGUUAUCAAUAGUACAUAAGUUAUCAAUAUAAUUUAGCAAAAGAUUUUAAUAAGCUCAUUAUUGUAACUUAGGUUCAUAUCCAUUAAUAAUUUUGGUUUCUAGGACUUGCAGUUCCUAAAAGAAAUUACACUUACAAAAAAAGUAACAUUAAAAACCAGUGAAAGUAAGAUUUGUACGUUGUUUUGCAGUGGAUUUCCACUUUGACUUCUCUUUCGUUAUCAUUUUCUGGAUCUGUGCUCAGUUGGCAUUUUCACCUCACAAUGGCGGCCGCGCCACCUAGUGACUAUUAACAAAAAAGCAUCAGAGUUUCACCUCUUAGGUUAUAUAGUCUUGGGUACUGUAUCCAUUACGAAAAUUAACCAUGUUUUUGUGGUAAAAGUGUAGUAAGUGGUGUAUUAAUUACUAUUAGCAAAACCAUGAACAGUGAAGUAAACAGCCUUUUUUGUUUUAACUGUGUAAAUCCAUGGUUAAUUUUCGUAAGGGAUUACUCUCUACCGUUUUUCAAUUUACAGUAGGGAAAAUGCCCGCGAAAACAUAUUUGCGUAAAUUUCCCUUCUGUAAAUAAAUUUGAAAAUGACCGCGAAAAUCCGACCAAUGACAUUUCCGACCAAUGAGGGAGAUUUCAAAUUCUGACGAGGCAGACGGAUAUUUUACCGUUGUUGGAGGACAGGAUGAAUUCAACAAUUCGCGGUCUGGAUUAAGUCUUUUGGAUCGUCAGAGGUGCGUUUGAUUGUGGCAACUAACAAUUACCUUCACAACGAGGAAAAACCAAGGUCACUGCAACUUCUGCAGAUGUACAGGGAAGCCUCACUGUACCCAGCACCCCAAGGCUGAUUGCAUUCGAAGAUUCUGUUCUCCAUGCCAGAAGAUGGAUGCUUACAAUGGAGGGCAGAGUCAUCAUUGAGUCACAAGACCUAACUGAUUUUCAGUCCGCAUUAGCUGUCUUGUUUGGCUGCUACUACGCUUUCAAUGUUUAGUACCAAGAAGAGGCAGCUGCGACUCUGGAGUUCCUGCAGAGAUUCAUUCUCCCCGAAUAAACCCUGAUGGGACAAAAUGCCAGUCAAAGACACGGAUCAGCCGUACCUCUGGGAAGAAGGUGCAAUGAAAAAGUUCUGGCCUGAAUCCUCAUGUUGUGACUU